rnacentral:tmRNA from 1 species
GGGGGCGACAGGAUUCGACGGGAUGACCGAAACCAAUGGCUGCAUACCGAGGUAUGGGGACUCGUGAAACCACCAGAAAACAAUAGUCGCAAACGACUAUAAUUACGCUCUGGCUGCUUAAGUUCAGUCAGCGUCCUUUGAGCCUCAUCCUGCAGGGCUAAAGGGACGACAGAUAGCAGGAUUGCCUUUCAAACUUUGCCUGAAGUCAUGAAAGGCGAGAUUUAAUCAGGCUGGCACCUCAAAUACCCUGUCUCUGGGGGAUUUGGGUGUGAGAUUUAAAACAGAGGAUAUGUAUGUAGCAUGCCAUGGAUAGGCACUCCCGGAAGUGGGUUCAAUUCCCACCGCCUCCACCA